rnacentral:lncRNA from 1 species
CGGCUUUGGCCGCCCGGCAGCAACCGCAGCGGCGAGCCUGGGCGGCCGCUGUGGCAACGCAGUGCCCACACCGGGCGCCGACCCAGCAGCACCGAGCGGGGAGAGAAAGGUGUGAACCCGGAAGUACAUCGACUGCCCGCGUCUUAGCGGCAGCACCGGGGCAAUAAAUCAGGGCCGGCGAAGGAAAGACGCGGCGCGCCGGCUUCCGAACCGCAACUUGCUGCGAGACCUGUCACUUCCCCGCGGUGCCCAGUCCUCGCCCCUCCCUGGCGCUCGCGCCUCCUCUUUUCUUCCUGCUCCUCAGCACGGAGCUCCCCUCGACGUUGCUCACGUGCCAGACUCGGGACCGCGAGCGGCGUCCGCACCCGCACGCACACCCGGCCACGCUCGCACUCGCGCGGCCGCGGGGCCGGCUGCUUACCUCCGGGGCCUCAUGGUCGCGUCGCUAGCCUGGGUGUGAGAGGGGGAGAGGGUGUGAGGACGUGUGUGGCGUUCAGUCCCGAAGGACGGGGCGGAGGAAGGGGCCUGGAGUCUGUCACUUCCUGAGGGAGCGCGGAGGUCGAGAGACCUGUGAGGCGCGCGGCGGGGCCGGGAGGGUCAGCACAUUGUGAGCCGGCAAGGGGACGCGGAACAGCCGGGCGGCGCGCGGCCACCGGGCACGGAAUCCGCUGUCGCCACCACUCCGCCGCCGCAGCCCGGCGAGUGGCGGGGCGCGGGGAGGAGGGGGCUGAGCCGGGUGGGGGAGCGCGGGGCGCGGCGGCGGCACCAGGCGGUUCGACUGGAGCCCUGCGUCAGCCGGCGGCACGCGCACACCUGCCCGCCGCCGCUACCGGCCGCGUCAUUGGCUGCCGGCGCCGAGCGCGCGAGAUUGAACCUUCCAUUCAUUCCAGGGCCGGGCGGGCGAGCGCGGCCGCGGUGGAGCUUUACCGCGGGCGCCCCCGAACCCCCGAAGCGCGUCCCCGCGCAGGCCGUGGGCGCGCACGGCCGCUGCCGCCGUUUGUUCUGGUGGAGGCUGCGAGUGCCUGGGCCUGUGACUCCCGGCUCUCCGCGCGCAGCGUCAGUCUGGGAGGGAAGCUCACAUGGCGGUCCCUAGGGUGCGACUGGAGGGAGGCGGGACGAUGCUACUCCUUGCUCCCCAACCUGACACCUUGGUGCGGUAAAACUGUAAGAAGGUAACAAAAUCAUAUCUGAAGCCCAGGUCUUCUUUUCUUUUACUACAGAUGCCCUGGACAUCAUUCCGAACAGCACAAUUCAAGGGGAGGCUUUUCCAAAUUAUGCAGCUGGUAAGAGGCAGAAGAGAAGCAAAGGAUGACCAUGAUCUCAGGCUCUUGGGUAACCCCCUCCCACACCAACUCUGAGUUUGUUUAUGGCUUGUUUUGGACAAUAAGACAUUAGCAAAUGAGAUAUAAGUACAGGCUUGAGAAGUACAUGGGCACUGGGGCUUGCUUGCUGGCUGCUCUGUGGAACCUGAGACUACCACGUGAAGAAGAAGUUCGAAGUGCUAGAGGUUGAGAGAACAUGUGCAGCAAAGAUGAAGCAUCCCAGCUGAGAUUCCCCUAGAUCAAUCAGCUUGCCAACUGCCGCAAAAGCGAAUAAAGCCUUCCAAGAGCAUCCAGCUAUAAGGUGAGCCAGUCCAGACCGGAAGAAUCACCUGAUCAACUGAAAGAUAUAUGUGAAAUAAUAAAUGUUAGAGGUUUUAAAUUUUAAGAGGUACAGAGGCAUAUGGUUGAUGGUUCUGUUGUAUAAUCAUUAUUUAGUCUGGAAAGAAUCACUUGGAGUCGUCUGCUUUUAACUUUUGUCAUAAACACAACAUAUGAGAUAACAUAUUUCAAAACAUUAAAAAAUUUUUGUUUUGUUUUGUUUGGGUUUUGAAAUGGAGUCUCGCUCUGUCACCCAGGCUGGAGUGCAAUGGCGGGAUCUCAGCUCACUGCAACCUCCACCUGCCAGGUUCAAGCGAUUCUCCUUCCUCAGCCUUCUGAGUAGCUGGGAUUAUAGGUGUCCACCACCAUGCCUGGC